AUUGAACGCUGGCGGCAUGCCUUACACAUGCAAGUCGAACGGCAGCACGGACUUCGGUCUGGUGGCGAGUGGCGAACGGGUGAGUAAUGUAUCGGAACGUACCAUUCAGUGGGGGAUAACGUAGCGAAGUUACGCUAAUACCGCAUAUUCUCUCCGGAGGAAAGCAGGGGACCGGCAAGGCCUUGCGCUGAUUGAGCGGCCGAUAUCAGAUUAGGUAGUUGGUGGGGUAAAGGCUCACCAAGCCAACGAUCUGUAGCUGGUCUGAGAGGACGACCAGCCACACUGGAACUGAGACACGGUCCAGACUCCUACGGGUGGCUG
rnacentral:rRNA from 1 species